GUGGUUUAUGGUUUAAGAACUGAUUUGUCCUCUGUUUACUGUCUGUCACUCUCCCAUAGAAUGCGAGCUGGAUGAGAACAGAGAUUUUCCUUCUACUUUGGUCACUAUCUUCAGGAGAACGUGGUGCCUAGCAUACAGCAGGAGCAAUAAAUGGAUGAAUGAGGAUGCAGGCAGAAAUUGCUGUGGAUAGUUUUCAUCGAUUCAAGACAGAGGCAGCCAUGAAAAGAUACUCAUGAAAGAAGACCUCCAGAACUACUUCAGAAAGUGGCAAGAAUGAUGGGAUAAGUAUGUUCAAAGUGAGGAGAAUAAGUGGUAAUGUGUUUUUUACUAUAACCAAA
rnacentral:lncRNA from 1 species